AUACGUAGGUGGCAAGCGUUGUCCGGAAUUACUGGGUGUAAAGGGAGCGCAGGCGGGCGUGCAAGUCAGCUGUGAAAUCCAUGGGCUUAACCCGUGGGCUGCAGUUGAAACUGUAUGUCUUGAGUGAAGUAGAGGUAGGCGGAAUUCCGAGUGUAGCGGUAAAAUGCGUAGAUAUUCGGAGGAACACCGGUGGCGAAGGCGGCCUACUGGGCUUUAACUGACGCUGAGGCUCGAAAGUGUGGGGAGCAAACAGGAUUAGAUACCCUGGUAGUCCACACUGUAAACGAUGAAUGCUAGGUGUAAGAGGUAUCGACCCCUUUUGUGCCGGAGUCAACACAAUAAGCAUUCCGCCUGGGGAGUACGGCCGCAAGGUUGAAACUCAAAGGAAUUGACGGGG
rnacentral:rRNA from 1 species